CUUUAGUUGCCAUCAUUAAGUUGGGCACUCUAAAGAGACUGCCGGUGGUCAAACCGGAGGAAGGUGGGGAUGACGUCAAGUCCUCAUGGCCUUUAUGACCAGGGCUACACACGUACUACAAUGGCAGGUACAAAGGGCAGCCACUUAGCGAUAAGGCGCGAAUCCCAUAAAACCUGUCUCAGUCCGGAUUGAAGUCUGCAACUCGACUUCAUGAAGGCGGAAUCGCUAGUAACCGCGAAUCAGCAGGUCCGCGGUCGAAUACGUUCCCGGGCCUU
rnacentral:rRNA from 1 species